rnacentral:pre_miRNA from 1 species
CAGGGAGGGGGGGUGUCCCUCAGCCCAGAUUGCGAGAGGGUGCAGGCAAGGCCAAGGGACCCCACUGGUGCACA